rnacentral:rRNA from 1 species
CACGUAGGGCGCAAGCGUUGUCCGGAAUUAUUGGGCGUAAAGAGCUCGUAGGUGGUUUGUUACGUCUGCUGUGAAAUCCUAGGGCUUAACCCUGGGCUUGCAGUGGAUACGGGCAGACUAGAGGUAGGUAGGGGAGAAUGGAAUUCCUGGUGUAGCGGUGAAAUGACGCAGAUAUCAGGAGGAACACCGGUGGCGAAGGCGGUUCUCUGGGCCUUACCUGACGCUGAGGAGCGAAAGCGUGGGGAGCAAACGGG